GAGCUUAACUUCCUGUGGAAACACUCGUGAUGACGUCACCAACGACGAAUCGACGACUGAAUUAGUCGGGCAACUAAUUCUUGGUCAUCGAUUAAGUGGAUUAGUUGUUGCACCCCUAUUAUACAUCCACCCUGCUUCCCUUUGCUGUCCAAUAUGAUAACCAAAGGGGUAGGACCACAUCAUGCACCACUGCACUCAGCUUUCAAGCUGGUCCAUCUGGUCGAGGCUCACAGCUUUUCUCUCCUUCUCUCCCCAAUAGAGCUAUGUCUUUCAGGCGUCGACCCGGAGGUAGGAGAACCAAAACGCUUGGCCUGCACCUAUCCCCCUGUCCAAAAAGAAAACGAGGUUCCACUAGACUCUUGGCCCGUGGUUACCUUAACACCUUUAUGUAUGUGUGCCCACCAACAAGCCACCAUCCUUGCCUACCGCCCGACACCCCUGUUAUGCCAUGUAUUUCCUUCCCUUGUGUCCACUUCCUCAAGAACAAACGUCACGGCUCACCUCAGUUUUUGCUGACGUAAGCCUAAGCCAUGAUAUCUGCCUUUAAAAUGGCUGGCCUUCCUCUCCUUCUCUCCCUCGUCUCCAUCAAUAAAGUAAACCAGUUAUCGUGAUAGAAAACAGAACUAGACUUGGGAACCAUGUUCUCCAUUCCUUACAGAUUAGUGGGGAUUAAGGGAAAGGGUAGCCGAGGGAUGAUGCAUUGUUAUGGUGAGGGGGCUACAUUAGUAUGUGCAUCGAGAAGUCACAGUCACCCCCCAUGUGCUGAACCCUGAUACCCGGGAGUGUGGAGUCCUUUCCUGGCAUGAUGCCUGGACACCCCUCCUCUGUGUCCAGUGAGGAUUGGGGUUGGGGAAGCCAUGUUGACUUCAGCUCAUGGGAGUAACAGUAUGACCCUGUUUGUUUCAGGGUGCCUAGUGAGGGAGAGGCCAGCCGGCAAGGACAGAAACCCCAAGAAGUGUGUCAGGCGACACUAAGGAGGACGGCAGUCGGGACUCGAAGCCUCGCUCGCUCCGCUUCACCUGGAGCAUGAAGACCACCUCCUCCAUGGAGCCCGCCGAGAUGAUGAGGGAGAUCCGAAAGGUUCUGGACGCCAACAGCUGCGAUUACGAGCAGCGCGAACGCUUCCUGCUGUUCUGUGUCCACGGCGACGCUCGCCAGGACAACCUGGUCCAAUGGGAGAUGGAGGUGUGCAAGCUGCCCCGCCUCUCCCUCAACGGCGUGCGCUUCAAGAGGAUAUCGGGCACGUCCAUCGCCUUUAAGAAUAUCGCCUGCAAAAUUGCCAAUGAGCUCAAACUGUGACGGCAGAUGGAGUCGCGGUCAGUCUCAUCUCAUCACUGGAUUAGUGUUGACUUACAGGACAAAAUUCAGCACUGAAGGUCCUCACCUCGCAGAAUCAGGGUGGACUCGGCUGGUAACGUGCAAUACUGGCCAUGAAUGUACUGUACAGGGUAGUGGAUCAGAGAGGAAACGCAAGGUUUAACCUCUGUGACGGAGAGAUAGCAAAAACAGCUUACCCCUUUCUCUUUUUUUUUUCUUCGUCCGGCCCUCUGCCUCUCUCAUCAGCCCGCUGCUCCUCGUUAUAGCACACAUUCAAGUAACAAAUGCAGUAUGCAACUGAAGAUGACCAUCCUGCAAUAAUGUUUUCAAUCUCUUUUUCUAAACGCCUACUUCACGAUCUACUCUCCUCGCUGAAUAACCAUUAAAGUUACUGAAAGCUAAAAUAGCCGCUUUUCCACCUGUGUUAAGUCAGUAUAUAGAUCAGGCUGGAUCCCGUACUAAAACUAUGUAAAAAGAGAAUUGUACUGUAUGCAUAACAUCUGCAGGUACUGUAUUGUAUAUUCAUUUUGCGUUCUGUACAGAAAUGUAUUGUCAAUGUCUUUUUUCAUGGAUUUUAGUUUUUUCCUAACAUUAUUGAUGUCUCUUAAGCAUUAUCGUUUCAGUCUGUGAGGUUUAUUUUAUUUUAAUUUUUUUUUAAGAGCCACCAUCUGAAAAUAGUGUUUUUUAUUUUAUUUAAAGAGCACUAAAUUAUUUUGUGGAGUAUUAAGGGAUGUGUUCCCUUGCCUUUUAUGUUAUAUUUUAUUUGCCUAUGGAAAAAAACACUAAGUUGCACCACAUAGACUUGAGUAGUAACUUUGGUUCAAACUGAAAAUGUGUUCACUUUAUUUCCUUUCAGCAGUAGGUGAUGUGGAGAUCCUGCUGCAAUUGCACAAGUUUUCCUGGGUGAUGUGUAUGAACAUGAGAGUAUGCGCCUGUAUUUCUUUCAUGUUAGUUUGGUAGUCCUCAAUUACAAAACAAAGCAGGGUUUAGUUUGGUGUGCUUUAGAAAGCGGAGGACGAAACGUCUUUACCCAGAGGAGUGAAGAUGCAUGAAAAGUCAAACAAUCACCUGAAAGAAGCAGUUUCUAAAGAGCCCGAUUUAAUCCUGCCACCCGUGUGAUUGUGCAGGUACUUGUGUAUCUCCUUGCUUGUGUUUCUCUUUCUUUCUUUUUUUUUCCCAGCGGAUUUUAUUGUAUUUAUUCCAUUACAUUGUAAUGUGCUGCUUUGUAGAAUUGAGGCGUGCACUUUGUUGGAGAAAAUAAAAAGGAUUUUAUUUGUUUGUA